rnacentral:rRNA from 1 species
GUGAACGUUACCAAUCUGUUGCCUCGGCGGGAUUCUCUUGCCCCGGGCGCGUAGAAGCCCCGGAUCCCAUGGCGCCCGCCGGAGGACCAACUCCAAACUCUUUUUUUCUCUCCGUCGCGGCUCCCGUCGCGGCUCUGUUUUAUUUUUGCUCUGAGCCUUUCUCGGCGACCCUAGCGGGCGUCUCGAAAAUGAAUCAAAACUUUCAACAACGGAUCUCUUGGUUCUGGCAUCGAUGAAGAACGCAGCGAAAUGCGAUAAGUAAUGUGAAUUGCAGAAUUCAGUGAAUCAUCGAAUCUUUGAACGCACAUUGCGCCCGCCAGUAUUCUGGCGGGCAUGCCUGUCCGAGCGUCAUUUCAACCCUCGAACCCCUCCGGGGGGUCGGCGUUGGGGAUCGGCCCCUCACCGGGCCGCCCCCGAAAUACAGUGGCGGUCUCGCCGCAGCCUCUCAUGCGCAGUAGUUUGCACACUCGCACCGGGAGCGCGGCGCGGCCACAGCCGUAAAACACCCCAAAUUUCUGAAAUGUUGACCUCGGAUCAGGUAGGAAUACCCGCUGAACUUAAGCAUAUCAAUAAGCGGAGG